rnacentral:rRNA from 1 species
UGGGGAAUCUUCCGCAAUGGACGAAAGUCUGACGGAGCAACGCCGCGUGAGUGAAGAAGGUUUUCGGAUCGUAAAACUCUGUCUUUUGGGGCGAACGUGAGUAUGGUGAACAAUCAUAGUCAGUGACGGUACCAAAGGAGGAAGCCACGGCUAACUACGUGCCAGCAGCCGCGGUAAUACGUAGGUGGCAAGCGUUGUCCGGAAUUAUUGGGCGUAAAGAGCGCGUAGGCGGGAUAGUCAGUCUGUUGUAAAGUGCGGGGCUCAACCCCGUGAUGGCAAUGGAAACAGCUAUUCUUGAGUGCAGGAGAGGAAAGUGGAAUUCCCAGUGUAGCGGUGAAAUGCGUAGAUAUUGGGAGGAACACCAGUGGCGAAGGCGACUUUCUGGACUGUGUCUGACGCUGAGGCGCGAAAGCCAGGGGGAGCGAACGGGAUUAGAUACCCCGGUAGUCCUGGCCGUAAACGAUGGGUACUAGGUGUGGGAGGUAUCGACCCCUUCCGUGCCGGAGUUAACGCAAUAAGUACCCCGCCUGGGGAGUACGGUCGCAAGACUGAAACUUAAAUGAAUUGAC